rnacentral:rRNA from 1 species
GAGUUUGAUCCUGGCUCAGAUUGAACGCUGGCGGCAGGCCUAACACAUGCAAGUCGAGCGGAUGACGGGAGCUUGCUCCUUGAUUCAGCGGCGGACGGGUGAGUAAUGCCUAGGAAUCUGCCUGGUAGUGGGGGACAACGUUUCGAAAGGAACGCUAAUACCGCAUACGUCCUACGGGAGAAAGCAGGGGACCUUCGGGCCUUGCGCUAUCAGAUGAGCCUAGGUCGGAUUAGCUAGUUGGUGGGGUAAUGGCUCACCAAGGCGACGAUCCGUAACUGGUCUGAGAGGAUGAUCAGUCACACUGGAACUGAGACACGGUCCAGACUCCUACGGGAGGCAGCAGUGGGGAAUAUUGGACAAUGGGCGAAAGCCUGAUCCAGCCAUGCCGCGUGUGUGAAGAAGGUCUUCGGAUUGUAAAGCACUUUAAGUUGGGAGGAAGGGCAGUAAGCUAAUACCUUGCUGUUUUGACGUUACCGACAGAAUAAGCACCGGCUAACUCUGUGCCAGCAGCCGCGGUAAUACAGAGGGUGCAAGCGUUAAUCGGAAUUACUGGGCGUAAAGCGCGCGUAGGUGGUUCGUUAAGUUGGAUGUGAAAAGCCCCGGGCUCAACCUGGGAACUGCAUCCAAAACUGGCGAGCUAGAGUACGGUAGA